AUUGAACGCUGGCGGCAGGCCUAACACAUGCAAGUCGAACGAGUGCCGGACGGGGGUGUAACGUCUGGGAAACUGCCUGAUGGAGGGGGAUAACUACUGGAAACGGUAGCUAAUACCGCUUACCAUCAGGUGUGCCCAGAUGGGAUUAUCUAGUUGGUGGGGUAACGGCUCACCAAGGCGACGAUCCCUAGCUGGUCUGAGAGGAUGACCAGCCACACUGGAACUGAGACACGGUCCAGACUCCUACGGUAGGCAGCAGUGGGGAAUAUUGCACAAUGGGCGCAAGCCUGAUGCAGCCAUGCCGCGUGUAUGAAGAAGGCCUUCGGGUUGUAAAGUACUUUCAGCGGGGAGGCGUUACCCGCAGAAGAAGCACCGGCUAACUCCGUGCCAGCAGCCGCGGUAAUUC
rnacentral:rRNA from 1 species